GUUGUGCCGGAUCGAGUUCUGCCAGCCGGCUUUGCUCUUCUUAUAAAAGGGGAAAUUGUCUGCCACAUACUGAUAGAUCUGGCUCAGGGUCAGCUUCUUCUCAUGCGCGUUCUGGAUGGCCAUGGCGAUGAGCGCAGAGUAGGAGUAGGGCGGCCGGACCAGCUUCAGGAGCUCCUCCUGACUGGCGAUGGACAGCCAGCCCAGGUCUGGCCCUCCAAAACCAGGCAGCAGCAACAAGUGUCAGAGAGGAUGGAGCAGUGAGGGGAGUUUUAAUAGUAUAAACCCUCAACAGCAGCCACAUCCAGGAGCAAGAUAACUCCCAGCAGCCAAUCCACACAGAGACAGCUGAAGAGAGACAGGAAAUGUGGGGAG